rnacentral:rRNA from 1 species
AUGGCUAGCCUCGUUAACAAGGGCAAUGGUAUGAAAGUCCGAGUCAUGAGUCGGCGCCUCGUUUCGGCCUCCGACUCUUCCAUCAAGGAGCACGUACUUGGUGUGUCCAACAUUGACCUUCUCCAUGGCGCCUUCCCGGUGUCACUGGUCUGCAUAUACCCAAGACGUCCAGUCGGCGGCUUCCACGCCGUCGUUGCCGCCUUCGAGUCUGGGCUGCCGUCAUUGCUCAACCACUAUUUUGCCCAUGCUGGGCGCAUCGUGGCGAAUCCCCGCACAGACCUCCACGAGAUCCUUUGCAACAACCAAGGUGCGGAGCUCAUCGUCGGCUUGGCCGACGUUGCUCUGGUGGACGUGGACUUUACCACCACUAUCGAAAAUGUCUUUCACCCCCGUUGGCGGCGAUGUCCCUCUGUUGGUGCGGCCUUGCAGGUGGUGUCGUUCGCGUGCGGCGGCUUCUCUGUGGCAUGGGGCCACAACCACCUGCUCGGUGACGGCCACGCGCUGCUCGGGCUCGUCGACGGCUUUUCGGAGCUCGCGCGGACGGGCAGGCUCGCCCCGGGAGCCCGGCCAGUCCACGACCGCUCCCUGUUUCGCCCGAGCUCCACGCCGUCGAGAUGCAGGAGCUCCUCGUUAGCCGCGUUCAUGCCGUUGACCUCCGAUCGCAUGGCGCAGGCCAUCUCCCGGCUCCGAGAGAUUGCGAGCCAAGAUGGAGACGGCCGCGCGACGCGGGUCCAGGCGGUGUUGUGGAACACCCUAGCCGCCGUGGUUGGUGUGGCUGACACGCGCUGCCGCAUGGGCUGGUGGGUGGACGGGCGGCGUCGACUCACGGCCCCAGAGCACCGCGCCCUCGCGACGAGCAGCUAUGUGGGCAACGUGUCCAUCUUCGUCCUGGGGGAGGACAGCGUGGAGGAGAUCCAGAGGAAGUCUCUGCCGGAGGUGGCGUCCAUGGUGCACGAACUGAUCAAUGCGCGCGCGUACAACGACCGCUUCCAGGAGGUGGUUGACUGGGUGGAGCAGCACAAGUCCGGCGCCACCUUCAUGGACGCGUCCACCAUAGGGCUGGGCUACCCGACAGUGGCUGUGACGGCCUUCACCUCGUUUCCGAUGGACAUAGACUUAGGCUUCGGCCACAUGGCAAUGGCGAUGACGACAACGUGCGGCAAGGGUCUAUGCUCAGGGUUCAUACAGAUGGUGGCUACGCCUGGAGGCGAUGGGGCCUGGAUCGUCAGUGCAAGCGUGUGGCCGAAACUCGCCGCCACGUUGGAGUCCGAUGAGCUGCGUAUUUUCAUGCCAGUCAUAGCCGAGCACCUUGGUCUCAAGCUCAACGAAGCAAUUGUCAAGGACAACGACAGCCUGCGUAGCCGGUUCUGA